GGGGGUGAAUUGGUUUCGACGUGGGUACGGACACGUAUCAGGGCAUGCCGAGGUUCUGUCACCUCGCUAAACCGCAGAAAAAAAGUAACUGCAAACGACGAACGUUUCGCACUCGCCGCUUAAUUCGGUGAGCCUUGCAACAGUUGGCCGAUAGGCUGGGCAAGGGGGCGUAAGCCUCCCGGCUGCAAGGGAAUCUAUAUUGGCUGGUCUGCGCCCGGGUGCCUUGGGUGUGGACGAGAUUCAAGGGCACUGGUCUGAUGCGUAGCGUGUCGCUGUGCGACGCAUCGGGCGAGACUCAAAUCAGACGACUACGCAUGUAGAACUGGACGAAGAAGGCUUGCGGACGCGGGUUCGAACCCCGCCACCUCCAUAC
rfam:Acidovorax sp. MR-S7 DNA, scaffold: scaffold22, whole genome shotgun sequence.